CAACAUUGAGUAAUAAUCUUUAAAAACUCUGGAGAAAGAUGACCACCUACCCACCAGAGGAUGCUGUUACAGGAGGACCUUGCUUCCAACUUCCAUGACACGAGCGUCGGGGGCCAGCGAGGGCUUUUGCUCUGGGUUGUCUCUACUCUAGACCUGGACGACCACAGUACCUGUGGGGAACAUUACUGGACACAGGAGCAGAGGAAAAAAGAUCCUACCCUGGACUUGAAUCAUCUGCCCCUUAGCAACCCACGCCAAGCACAGGUGGCAGACUUUGGUGAUGUGACCCCGGGGCCUGGCAGGCAGGGACCAGAAGCCUCCCGUGAUGCCAGGUCUUGGACCCAUGACACAGAGACCGCUGGGACAAUUCAGUCCUAGCAGGCAGUAGGUCUACCUAGCAGCUUUGAAAAUAAUUUUGAUGAGGUCAGUGGUGCUCCCACCCACGUGGCAUACCUUGUCGGCUUAGCAGCUAGAGCGUCCUCCAAAGGUCAAAGAUUGUACCGCAGUGUGAACCUGGGAGCUAGAAAGGCAUGUGGAGAAAGAUACUGACGGUUACAAUUUUUCAAACCUUCCCCCGUGGUAGGAUACUCCCAGAGACAUUUUGGUGAGUGAGAACAUUCCCGCAGAGUAGAAAGUAUCCGAAAAAUAAACAAGAAGGGGUAUGACACGAGCUCCCCCCCGGAGACAUCGCUUAUAUGGAAAGUCCUCACUCGCAGACGAUAGGAUAGAGGGUGCUUUGUAAAGGCCAAGAAGGGAAAACAGGGCAAAUGAUGACUUUGCAUAAAUGCACGUUACGUCUUACACGCCAGUCUAUUUUCUAAGCGUCUAAAACUUCAGCUGACCUUGUGCAAGGAAACGUUUGCGAUUAUCCAUGGACAGGGCGAAGUGUGCGUUCCCCGGGCCUGGCGGGCGAGCCCUGCAGACGCCCCCUCCGGCUUUUCCAGACCUCAGCACUGAAAUCUCCGCGGAUCCGCAGUCUCUGUGUCUUGCCUCCACGAGCUCAAAAGCCACAGGGCUCUCCCACUGUCCCCCUGCACGACCCACUCUUGAGGAUGGAUGUUUCAGGUUCUGCCACAUCGAGCUACGUGUUCAAGGCGUGGUCUCGUCACACCCACCCAGGUGCCUUAAAUUCCAGCAAGAGUCUCACCCCUUAAACGGUAUUGAUCAGAAUGAAAUUGAAAACCAAAAUAAGCCAAUGAAAAUACGAGGUAGUCCAAACACACAAUCUGGUCAUGGCUCUGCUUACUGAAGAAUCCCAGAUGUCACUGAGGGGACGGGUCUCUUGCCAACGCGUCACUUAAUCCGUCAAGACCGUGACUCCAUUUGUACUGGAUUAUGAGGUAUAUGGAAGCAAACCAGUCACGGGGUCUGAGGACCUGAUCUGGGGUCCAACCCGGUGAUCCACCCAAAGGCUUCUGUUUGGGCGGAUCACCAAAACUGGUUCCUUUCCUCCUCUGUGAAAUGGGGAGGAACAUAAAACAUCUCAAAAUGUGGUCUUUCAGGCUCAAACUCAGAAAACACAAAAAGAAAAACAAGACCUUUCUGUGAACUGAAGAAAGCCCCUUGCAAACUGUGGAGGGUCCGACAAAGGCAGUGUUGUUACCCCAAGCAUCGCACAGCGAGCCCGCCAGGCCCCGCGCCCCGAGGACGCAGAAUAGUGGCUUCAAAGUCCCGGCUGUGCCUUGAUUCAUUUCAGGACUACACGAGGAAGACGGAUGGCCUCAUCUGGAGCCGUCCACCACAAACAAGUUUUUGCAUCAUCCUGCCAAUCGCAAAGAUGGCUGCCGCCCGCAGGACCAGCCUCUGACCUUCUGCUCUCAGGAGGGCCAGCUGGUAUUGGGAGGAGAUCUGUAAUGCACAUUUCCUAAUGACUCUGCGGCCGUCUUAGUCCUGACCCAGAGAAUCUCGUCUGAAAUUAGUAAGCAUCUAAUUGCUUUUUAAUUCAAAGCAAUUAGAAGGAAGGGCGCCACCAAGCACCAUUUGCGAAGAGAGUAUCACAAUGAGAAUGAAGGAGUGCAGGUUGGGCAUCUGUGAACUGCAAAUGCACUUGUGUGCGUAACUGGCCCUAAAACGCCGGAAAAUCAAUGAGUUGGAAACGCGAGUUAUUACCGCUGCCCACGGUAGUGUGGGGCCGUGACUGUAAUGGCUGCAUUUUAAAACACGAACCCUUUGAAUUUUCUUUUUAGAAACUUAUCUCGUAAC
rnacentral:lncRNA from 1 species